UUUCUGUAUGUUGAAACCUAAGACUGACAGAGCCUUUCUGUUUGUGCACCCUGUCUCAGCGGCAAGAUUCUUUUCACUCUAGACCUUUAGAGUCUGAACCAGCUUCUAAGGAUAAACAGCCUUUACAGGCACAUCUCCAGAUGAGAUGAACGCACCGAAUAUCCCUAUAGAAACAUUUCCUGCCUGCCCCACAGGAAAUUUCUGGACUCUUAACCACCUAAGAAUGCCUGAGCAAGAGCCAGCGGAAGAUCCUGGAUGGCCCUGGAUCCAUGAUGCUUCCCAAGGCACCAGGUCCUCUCUCCGGGUGAACCCAUCCCAGAGUGCCCCGCCCUUCACAAAGAACUCUCCCCCUUCACAAAGAACUCUCCCCCUUCACAAAGAACUCUCCCCCUUCACAGAGAAC